rnacentral:rRNA from 1 species
GAUGAACGCUGGCGGCGUGCCUAAUACAUGCAAGUCGAGCGAACAGACGAGGAGCUUUCUCCUCUGACGUUAGCGUCUGACGGGUGAGUAGCACGUGGAUAACCUACCUAUAAGACUGGGAUAACUUCGGGAAACCGGAGCUAAUACCGGAUAAUAUAUUGAACCGCAUGGUUCAAUAGUGAAAGACGGUUUUGCUGUCACUUAUAGAUGGAUCCGCGCCGCAUUGGCUAGUUGGUAAGGUAACGGCUUACCAAGGCAACGAUGCUUAGCCGACCUGAGAGGGUGAUCGGCCACACUGGAACUGAGAGACGGUCCAGACUCCUACGGGAGGCAGCAGUAGGGAAUCUUCCGCAAUGGGGGAGAGCCUGACGGAGCAACGCCGCGUGAGUGAUGAAGGUCUUCGGAUCGGAAAACUCUGUUAUUAGGGAAGAACAAAUGUGUAAGUAACUAUGCACGUCUUGACGGUACCUAAUCAGAAAGCCACGGCUAACUACGUG